CUACGGGAGGCUCCAGUGAGGAAUAUUGCACAAGGGGGGGAACCCUGAUGCAGCAACGCCGCGUGGAGGAUGACGCAUUUCGGUGUGUAAACUCCUUUUAUAUGUCAAGAAAAUGACGGUAGCAUAUGAAUAAGCACCGGCUAACUCCGUGCCAGCAGCCGCGGUAAUACGGAGGGUGCAAGCGUUACUCGGAAGCACUGGGCGUAAAGGACGCGUAGGCGGGUUGGAAAGUCAGGUGUGAAAUCCUACAGCUUAACUGUAGAAAUGCACUUGAAACUUCUAAUCUAGAGUAUGGGAGGGGGAGAUGGAAUUAGUGGUGUAGGGGUAAAAUCCGUAGAUAUCACUAGGAAUACCUAAAGCGAAGGCGAUCUCCUGGAACAUUACUGACGCUAAGGCGUGAAAGCGUGGGGAGCAAACAGGAUUAGAUACCCGUGUAGUC
rnacentral:rRNA from 1 species